rnacentral:misc_RNA from 1 species
UUGGCACUUCGUCGGACCCUGAUGAAAACUAAAAGAGUUUCUAGUGUAAAAUUGCUUUUACUCCGUAGAACAGUUUUUUGAGCAUCACUUCUAUCCUAUCACUCCUAUCCUAUCCUAUCCUAUUCUGGUUGAAUUACGUUUGACGUGGAAUUUGUGAGUGUUAAUUCUAAGAUACUUCUUUUCUACGUGUGAGAGAUAUUCAAAGAGAGAGAAGAAGAUAAGGUGUUAGCGAAACAUGUCGUGAUAUAUUUCGCAAAUAAAGUUUGUGGAGAUCAAGGUGUAGUUUAGGAAAAAAUAUAUAAUACACAGUUUCGACCUUAAAGUUAAUGUGCAAAAUGUCCAUCUUCUGAUAAAAUACACGUCUGCAAUCGAUUUGUUAUUGAUUUUCAGAUAUAUUCAAAAAUAUCCAAGAGUAUUCCUUAUGACAUUGUCAAAUAGGUAUUCGAUUUCUCAAGUCAUUCACUUCUAGUAGAGGAGUUUCAUGAACAAGAGCCUUGGGAUGAACCCAUAAAUAUAAAUCUAGAGGAUUCAUGGCAGGACUGCAAGCUGGAAAAUUUUGAGGUUCUUCGGCACUUGGGUGUCGCUGGAUUGGACGUGCAAUUAGGUUGCUGUUGUUGUGUUCGUUAUUACCGCAGUGAAUGCAGGCUACUUGGGCUCUCCUGAAUACUCUACAUCUUAUGUCUCCAAUCA